rnacentral:rRNA from 1 species
UACGUAGGGGGCGAGCGUUGUCCGGAUUUAUUGGGCGUAAAGAGCUCGUAGGCGGCUUGGCAAGUCGGGUGUGAAACCUCCAGGCUCAACCUGGAGACGCCACUCGAUACUGCUAUGGCUAGAGUCCGGUAGGGGACCACGGAAUUCCUGGUGUAGCGGUGAAAUGCGCAGAUAUCAGGAGGAACACCAAUGGCGAAGGCAGCUCUCUGGGACGGUACUGACGCUGAGACGCGAAAGCGUGGGGAGCGAACAGG